rnacentral:misc_RNA from 1 species
GGCUUUUUCUCUUGCCUGUAUUCUCUUUAGCUCACUAUUAUUAACAUUCUUGCCGGCAUCAAUUGCUCGAUCUGCUAAUUUAGUUCGGUUGGUGAUUCACUUUUAGCUGGUGACAACAAUUCUUUCUGGACUUCACCAUCCGGUGAUUUUGCCUUCGGUUUUCGCCAACUCAACAGCAACAACAAAGAUCUUUUCUUGCUUUCUAUAUGGUUCCAUAAGAUACCAGAAAAGACUAUUUUUUUGGUCUGCAGACAAUCCUGCCCCCAAGGGAUCCAAACUAGAAUUAACCACUGAUCCGGGGCUUGUGCUAAGUAGCCCUCUAGGUCACCAGGUGUGGACAUCUGGAACCAUUAUUGGUAUCGUCUCUUGUGGUUUCAUGAACGAUAAUGGAAACUUUGUGCUUCAAGAUCUCAACUCCAAAAAUUUAUGGGAGACCUUCAAGAAUCCUACGGAUACUAUGCUGCCUUCACAGAUACUGGAAAGGGGGGAUCGGCUUUCUUCUCGGAGAUCCGAGACCAACUUUUCCAAGGGAAGGUUCCAAUUCAAGUUGCAGACAGAUGGGAAUCUCGUGCUUACGACCGUAAACUUGCCAACUGACAGUGCUAACUAUCCUUACUAUGAAAUUCGCAGAGGUGAUCCUGGUUUCCAAGUAGUCUUCAAUGAAUCGGGCUACCUGUAUUUGUCGUCAGUGAAAGGCAAUAUAUUUCCUCUAACACAGAGAGUGACAACCCCAUGGACAACAUUUUAUCACACAGUAACUCUCAAUUUCGAUGGAGUUCUGAUCCAGUAUAGUUACCCAAAGAAUUCCACUGAGAACCAAAAUUGGACUGCUGUUUGAUCCUUACCACAUAAUAAUAUUUGCACUAGCUUUCCGACUCAAGUGGGUAGUGAAAUUUGUGGGUACAAUAGCAUCUGCAGACUAGACAAAGAUAGAAGGCCCAUCUGUGGAUGCCCAAGAGGCUACUUAUUGCUAGAUGCAAAGGAUCCAUACAGUAGCUGCAAACCAAACUACACACAGAGCUGUCAAGAAGAAAAUGAGGGGGUAUAUGCAGAGGAGUUGUAUGAUUUUGAAGAACUUGUAAAAACGGAUUGGCCAACAUCAGAUUAUGCAUUCUUGACACCUUGUACUGAGGAUCAAUGUAGACAAUCUUGCUUGCAUGAUUGCAUGUGUUCUGUUGCCAUUUCCAGAGCAGGCACUAUGUCUUGGAAGAAGAAGCUACCCCUCUCAAAUGGUAGAGAGGAUCCAAAUCUUAACGCGAAAGCGUUUCUCAAAAUUGGGAAAGGUAAUGUCAGUCUACAAAGUCCCCUUUUCCCAACUGAAAAGACAAAUCCUCUUUCCCCUACGGCAAAAAUGAAAAAUAAAAAAAAAGAAAUAUGAAAAUUUGGUCCUUGCGGAAUCUAUGCUCUUGGGUACUUCUGUGUUUGUCAACUUUAUUUUGAUUGGUGCAAUUCUUUUGGGGUUUUUCUUCAUUUACCAGAAAAAAAUGAAAACAAUUAGCAGUCAUGAUAGUGCUACGGGAACAAAUUUGAGAUGUUUUACUUUAAAUGAGCUCAUAAAAGCAACAGAUGGGUUCAAAGAAGAAUUGGGAAGGGGAGCGUUUGGUAUAGUUUGUUAAGGAAAAUUGCAAAUGGGAUCUCAUACCCUGGUUGCAGUGAAGAAAUUGCAUACUGUGAUGCAGAAUUCUUUGAAAGAAUUCAAAACUGAAAUAAAUGUGAUCGGGCAGACCCAUCACAAGAAUCUGGUUCAGCUGCUAGGAUUCUGCGAUGAUGGACAAAAGCAAGUGUUGGUAUACGAGUUCCUGAGCA